GACGGAGGAUGCAAGUGUUAUCCGGAAUCAUUGGGCGUAAAGCGUCUGUAGGUGGUUUAAUAAGUCAACUGUUAAAUCUUGAGGCUCAACCUCAAAAUCGCAGUCGAAACUAUUAGGCUAGAGUAUAGUAGGGGUAAAGGGAAUUUCCAGUGGAGCGGUGAAAUGCGUAGAGAUUGGAAAGAACACCGAUGGCGAAGGCACUUUACUGGGCUAUUACUAACACUCAGAGACGAAAGCUAGGGUAGCAAAUGGG
rnacentral:rRNA from 1 species